rnacentral:rRNA from 1 species
CCUACGGGUGGCAGCAGUGGGGAAUAUUGCACAAUGGGGGGAACCCUGAUGCAGCAACGCCGCGUGGGUGAAGAAGUACUCCGGAAUGUAAAGCCCUGUCAGAAGGGAAGAAAAUGACGGUACCUGACCAAGAAGCCCCGGCUAACUACGUGCCAGCAGCCGCGGUAAUACGGAGGGGGCAAGCGUUACCCGGAUUUACUGGGUGUAAAGGGAGCGUAGACGGCAAGGCAAGUCUGGAGUGAAAGCCCGUGGCCUAACCACGGGACUGCAUUGGAAACUGUUUUGCUGGAGUGCGGGAGGGGUAAGCGGAAUUCCUGGUGUAGCGGUGAAAUCCGGAGAUAUUAGGAGGAACACCGGUGGCGAAGGCGACUUACUAGACUGUAACUGACGUUGAGGCUCGAAGGCGUGGGGAGCAAACAGGAUUAGAUACCCGUGUAGUC